GCAUCGUAUGGUUGAUUUUCUCUUCCAAAAGAUCCUUUACGGUGUCCUGUAAGGCGUACGCUGCGGUCGCAGCAGACAAUUCCAUUAUCAAAACAACGGAUAAAGAUACUGCAAACUAGUGAAAAAAAUAAAAUAUUUAAAAAUAAUAUUCGUGAUAUACUUACCACGAGAACCAUGCAAGUACUUUCUCGAAGAGCACCGCAACAUCCAAAGAAAGCAAUUAUGAAAACUAAUAUACCAACUACGAUCAAGAGCGUGGCUGGUGAAAAGUAUCUGGGAUCCAAGAAAUGGGAGAAAUCUUCAUAAACGGCAUAGAUCGUCGAGCCAACCGAUAUUAUCAUCACACCCGUCAACUACAUCAAAAUUAUUAAUUAAUUAAUAAUCAAUUAUCCAAAUUGUAACAUCAAUCUAGUUUCUUAAUUUAAUACAUAAAUCAUUGAAUCGCUAGCAUCGAUUAUGGAAUCAUCAACAUUAUUUGCUUCUUUCGAAUGAUUUAAAUUAUGUUGUUGUAUCAUCAUUGAAAAUGUAUCAGCAGUUACGUUCGUCGUUCAUGCAUUAAGGAAUGCUGUCUUUUUGUUGAAAGCGAUAACGUAUCACUGAUUACAAUUCGCAAUCAAUCUAAACUAAUUGAAGUCGUAUAAUUGUUAACACGCGUGAAGCUGAACGAAUAUUUUUGAAAUAUUUGACUAACUGAUCUAACAUUUACAAUUAAUCAGAAAUAUGUUGAGUAAUGUAAAAAAAAAAAAAUAAAAUAAAUCAAGAGAAUUAAACUAGAAUAAUCUAAUUUUUUUUUUUUUUUUUUUUUUUUUACUUUAAACAAAUCAAAAGAACAUUCAGAUAUGAUGUAAAAGAUUUCUAAUAGAGGUAUUUAUUACAUAGGAUUGAUCUAACUGCUCUAUAUAUUAUAAACUUUCAUUUUGAAUUCUUUCUUGUAUAUUGCCAAAGAAAGAUAAAAUCGUUUAUCUGAUGACGAUACAUCAGAAAACAUUUCAUGCGAUCAACUUCAAUACGAGAAUUAUAAAAUUAUCUCUACUGAUAAGCAGUUCCUUUUAUUUUCAACUAUAAUCGAUAUAAGUACUUUUACGUAAAGGAAAAUUUAUUUGAAUUCUUUUUACUCUAAUCGAUAUUUUAAAACGUUGCAGAGAGAUCACAGAAUAUCUCGUUUUUCAUAUAUUACGAAUUAACUUAGAAAAAAAUUAGCUUAACUUUCGUUAUUUAGUGAUAAAUGAUAAGAAUGUUUAUUCUCAAGCAGAAUCUUAUUAUUUCCAAAUGUUAUAAUUAAAAUCCGCAUAUCUAUAAUUAGGUAUAAUUAGAUAAUUAUUUAAAUAUAAAAAUAAUAUGAAAGAAAGAUUAUUUUAUUGAAAAAAGAAAAAACAUGUACUCUCUAUAACGUAUUAAUAAAUAAUUUAGAGACAAAUAGAAUUCGUGUCGUCAUGAAUUGUAAAUCGUCGAAACCAAACGAAGAAAAAUGGCGGCGCUAUUACGAUACCAAGUACGCAAAAAGAGCGAUAAAAAGAGCUGCAUAUACAUAGCUAGCGAAGUUAACUCCGUUUGACUUUUGUUUCUCGUUAUCUAACGAGAACGGAUAUCACCGAUAGAUACAACUUGACGUCGUAUUAUCUUUACUGAUAAUUGUAUAUUUGUAUAAGAAUAUUUUUAAAUCUUGAAAAAGUUGUAUAAGGAAUAUCGAAGAAAUUAAAGCAAAAAAUAAGAUACAAUAGAAAGAAAUCUUAAUCUCAAAUGGCGUGGAAUAUAGCAAGUGAAAAAUAAUUUAUAUAUUA